rnacentral:rRNA from 1 species
UGGGGAAUAUUGCGCAAUGGGGGGAACCCUGACGCAGCAACGCCGCGUUAAGGAAGAAGGCUUUCGGGUUGUAAACUUAUGUCUGGUGGGAAGAUAGUGACGGUACCACCGGAGGAAGUCACGGCUAACUACGUGCCAGCAGCCGCGGUAAUACGUAGGUGGCGAGCGUUGUCCGGAAUUACUGGGUGUAAAGGGCGCGUAGACGGGUAAGUAAGUUAGAUGUGAAAUACCGGGGCUUAACUCCGGGGCUGCAUUUAAAACUGCAUAUCUUGAGUGCAGGAGAGGGAAGCGGAAUUCCUAGUGUAGCGGUGAAAUGCGUAGAUAUUAGGAGGAACACCAGUGGCGAAGGCGGCUUUCUGGACUGUAACUGACGUUGAGGCGCGAAAGCGUGGGUAGCAAACAGG